ACUCACAUUUUCACAUUUCACAAAAAUCAAAACUAACUCUCUCUCUAAACUAUUCUCUCAUUCUCUCAAGAACAACUUAACACAAUCUCACAAAAAAACUCAUCGAAUCUUAAAUAAUCUUCAUCUUCUUCACAAAUAUUUCCGUAAGCUUCUCCUAAUCCCUGAUCUCCCUCCGUUUUGCACCGCACAGGCCGUUUGGAUUGGCCUAUUCUCGUCACUCCCUCCUCUUCAAGAACCACCGCGAGUUGAUUCUGCCAUCGCGCAUGCAGCCUGCUCCGCCGUGAGCGUCCGGCGAUUCUGCCUCCCUUCGAUUUCACGGAGAUUCUGGAUUCCUCUUCCUCCUUCGUGUAAUUAUUUUCCAGAUAUAUCUUCCUCCUAUCCGAUCCGUUUCGUUUCGGUAACUCUUGAAUUCUCCUGUUUUAUUUGUUUUCUCGCACAUUUGAUUAUUGAUAAUUGUUGUGGAAUUGAGGAAUUGAUAUUAAACUUGAAUUGA